rnacentral:rRNA from 1 species
UACGUAGGGUGCAAGCGUUGUCCGGAAUUAUUGGGCGUAAAGAGCUUGUAGGCGGUUUGUCGCGUCUGCUGUGAAAUUUCGGGGCUCAACCCCGAACUUGCAGUGGGUACGGGCAGACUAGAGUGUGGUAGGGGAGACUGGAAUUCCUGGUGUAGCGGUGAAAUGCGCAGAUAUCAGGAGGAACACCGGUGGCGAAGGCGGGUCUCUGGGCCGGAACUGACGCUGAGGAGCGAAAGCGUGGGGAGCGAACAGG